GGACAAACCAGACCCUCAAAACUCCCAUGGGCAAGUCCCUUGACGGGUACCAGGAAUGGUGGGAGGACAACCUGAAGGUAAUUCUCUUUGCACACAACAGCAGCGUCUAGUCCUCCAACGACCCUAUCGCCUGCUGUACGGACAGGAGCUGCAGCUGUUGACUCAGGUGUUCCCACUGCUUUUUGAGGGUCAGGACUGACUUCCGACUUCUGGAUGUCCUUCUAACUGGGGUGUUUCCCUCGGCACAUCACCAGACCUCUACUGAUGACUCCCGAGCACAGAGACUGAUGGUACAGCACCUCGCUGGAUCUGGCUGAAGUCUCUGCCCAGCCUGGCAGACUACAGAGGAAGCCACUUCUCAUAAAUCCACACAUCCUCACAGUCGUCAAAAAACUCAAACAGCUUCAACUGGCCCUCUAGUAUUUUCCUCCUGUGGAUUCAUUAAGGCAAUAACCAGCAAUAGACCCACUUCAAUCAACAGUUACCGUUCCUGUGGUAACACAUUUUACACAGACCUACAGGUACUAAUAGGCCUCUAUUGUCAUUAAAUAUAAACUAAGAACCAAUUCAAUCAAUUGCAGAUAAAGAGUGUUUAUGCUCUAUCUGAAGUGUAAACCAUUCUGAAACGAACACACCCGGCAAGAUGUUUCUCUCACAAAUGUCAUCAUUACUGAGGCAAAACCACACCUUUAGUUAAAAUAGAGUCUUAUGAAUGAACAUGUGGUUCUCCGUUAUCUGCAAUUGAUUGUAUUUGGGCCUAAGCGGUUGUGUGCAUGCUCACCUGUUCUUACUAAGUGCCACCAAAGAGCUGUACUGAGCACUGAGUGAUUUGACUGGAUCUGCCUGUACUCAUUUUGGGUACGGGCACCAUUUAUAUUUAGGUGCAGGAACUCUUCAAUUAUUUUGAGCUAAUAUUCUAAAGGAGGUGCAGGAACUCAAGCAGAAGAACAUGUGAGUUUCCAGUACACAGUUCUGGUGAGCUCCUG
ensembl:lncRNA